rnacentral:RNase_P_RNA from 2 species
CCAGACGGUCGGGCAGCCGCUGUCGCCGCGAUGCGGAUCGCGGCGAUGGAGGAAAGUCCGGGCUCCACGGGAGAACGAUGCCGGCUAACGGCCGGCGGGGGUGACCCUAGGGAAAGUGCCACAGAAAACAGACCGCCCGCCUGGCCUCGUGCUGCGGGUAAGGAUGAAACGGUGCGGUAAGAGCGCACCGCUUCCCUGGCAACAGGGAGGGCAUGGCAAACCCCAUCGGGAGCAAGACCGAAUAGGAACGGCCGGUCGGCGUUCACGCGCGCGGCCAGAGGCUCUCCCGCCUCGUCGUUCGGGUUGGUCGCGUGAGGCGUGCCGCGAGGCUCGUCCCAGAGGAAUGGCUGCCCCAUCAGCAAUGAUGGACAGAACCCGGCUUACAGACCGUCUGGCCUU